GCUUAACACAUGCAAGUCGAACGGAGAUAGGAAGAGCUUGCUCUUCCGAAUCUUAGGUGGCGGACGGGUGAGUAACGCGUGAGCAACCUGCCUUUCAGAGGGGGACAACGUUUGGAAACGAACGCUAAUACCGCAUAAGAUCGUAGGGCCACAUGGUCCAGCGACCAAAGGAGCAAUCCGCUGAAAGAUGGGCUCGCGUCUGAUUAGAUAGUUGGUGGGGUAACGGGCCUACCCAAGUCGACGAUCAGUAGCCGGACUGAGAGGUUGAACGGCCACAUUGGGACUGAGAUACGGCCCAGACUCCUACGGGAGGCAGCAGUGGGGGAAGUAUUGCACAAUGGGGGAAACCCGUGAUGCAGCAACGCCGCGUGAAGGAUGACGGUUUUCGGGUAUUGUAAACUUACUGUUCUCGUUGACGAAGACAGUGACGGUAAACGAGGAGCAAGCCACGGCUAACUACGUGCCAGCAGCCGCGGUAA
rnacentral:rRNA from 1 species